UCUAUUUGCGAAGAGGGUCUUUGCAGUCUUGUGAGUUGAACAACCUGCAGAUGACAGAACUCAGGCAAUUCAAAUAACAUCACACAAAGUUGUGGAGACCAAGAAAUUACAACACAAGAUCUCAUUCAUGCUGUGAAGAAAAGGCUCAGCGGACAGAGCAGUCAGCUGUUUCCUUAUUCUCAACUCCUAAGAAAAAUACAACGAAAUAAAAUGUAAAGGUUCCAGCAGCAUAUCUUUAUUUUCUUGCUUAGUUUUCCCAACAAAUAACAUAGCAUUUGAGCACUAGUAUCUCACCUUUUGUUCGA